rnacentral:rRNA from 1 species
UUCAGGGGUAAACCUGAGAAACCCGAAAGGUCGAAUGGGGAGAUUCAGCGUUUCCCGUCGCUGGAGCGUUCCGGUCGCGUGACGAUCCGGCCUCGUGCCGGACCGCACCUUCUGGGCGCUAAACCGGCGGCGAGUUCGUGCACUUCUCCCCUAGUAGGACGUCGCGACCCGUUGGGUGCCGGCCUAAGGCCGUCUGUGUAGCCUUGGGCUCAACUUUUCGGAGUUAAACUCAAGACACGACGUGUCCCGGCCGGCCCGCUCGACGGCAAGACAGAGGCGUGGGGUCGCUACUCGUUAGCGUCCGGCCCGUCGCAAGUUCGGGCGAGCACUCGAAAGUCGGACCUGUUCGCCGACCUCGAGCUCGCACGGCUGCUGGCGACGGUGACCUCGGACAGACUCCGGACACGCCGGUCGGCGACGCUUUAGCUUUGGGUACUUUCAGGACCCGUCUUGAAACACGGACCAAGGAGUCUAGCAUGUGCGCGAGUCAUUGGGACCGCAUCUAAACCUAAAGGCGAAAUGAAAGUGAAGGCCGCCUCGCGCGUGCCGAGGGAGGAUGGGUCGGGCUCUGCCCGCAACCCCGCACUCCCGGGGCGUCCCGUUCUCAUCGCGAGAUGAGGCGCACCCAGAGCGUACACGCUGGGACCCGAAA